rnacentral:rRNA from 1 species
AUUGAACGCUGGCGGCAUGCCUUACACAUGCAAAUCGAACGGUAACGGGCCUUCGGGUGCCGACGAGUGGCGAACGGGUGAGUAAUACAUCGGAACGUGCCCGAUCGUGGGGGAUAACGAGGCGAAAGCUUUGCUAAUACCGCAUACGAUCUACGGAUGAAAGCAGGGGACCGCAAGGCCUUGCGCGGACGGAGCGGCCGAUGGCCGAUUAGGUAGUUGGUGGGAUAAAAGCUUACCAAGCCGACGAUCUGUAGCUGGUCUGAGAGGAUGAUCAGCCACACUGGGACUGGGACACGGCCCAGACUCCUACGGGAGGCAGCAGUGGGGAAUUUUGGACAAUGGGCGCAAGCCUGAUCCAGCCAUGCCGCGUGCAGGAUGAAGGCCUUCGGGUUGUAAACUGAUUUUGUACGGAACGAAAAGCCUUCUUUUAAUACAGGAGGGUCAUGACGGUACCGUAAGAAUAAGCACCGGCUAACUACGUG